rnacentral:tRNA from 1 species
UGCGGGGUGGAGCAGCCCGGUAGCUCGUCAGGCUCAUAACCUGAAGGUCGCAGGUUCAAAUCCUGCCCCCGCUACCA